CACGCAUGCGUGAUGUAGCGAAUCCGAUGACAUGAAUAUGGAAAAUCUCAGAUUAGGCAUUCCGAAAGAGGCCAUGGAGAAUACAAAACUGUUAAAAUAUACUCAGAUUGCUGGAGAAAUCUAACGAGGGGUUGAAAAUUUAUACUCUUUUUCAUGAGUUCGGUGUGUCCCGCAACAUGCACGCAUGUCAAAACAGGUCACAUGAUCGAAGUUGUUGCUGAAUGACGAAAAGAGCUGAGAGGCUGCCUCCCUAUGCGGCGUAAUUUGCAUCAACCAAUCAAAUGUAUUUUUAGAAAGACACCAAUCAGAGCACAGUACGAUGACCUUGAGUCGGGUUAGCAAAUCGAAAACGCCAUAUGACGUCAAUUUAUUUCUCUAUUGUUCGUUCCACUGUUGAGUCAAACUAUUUGCGAAGUAAUGAUCUUAUCGUUGAGUCAUACUACUAUUUUUAUUUGUUGAUAAAACGGAUAAUAAUCUCACAAAAUAUUUUAACGCGAAAUUUUAAUUGAGGUUGCGGAAGUAAACCGUUUUCAAGUGCUCGUAAUUAAUUAAAACUACCAAAGCGGUUAAAAUGACUGAUUUGUAAUUUUUUCUUAUAAAAGUUACUCCAAUUUCUAAUGGUACAUUCUUUGAGAUUUCUCGUAAUUUUUGUCACAAUAUGUAAAUGAAUAAAUAUUUUUUUACCUUUUCAUUACGUAUUUUCUCUGAUUUAAACUGCUCUGAUAGAAAGGUACCCGUUAAUCGUCGGUAGUUUUAAUGUUAACAAUAUAAAUAUAUUACGUAUCAUAAUAGUCGAGCGAUUCUAGAGGGAAAUUAUUAGGAGCUUGCAAAAGUUGGUCGAAAUGUCAAUAAUUUCAU